UACGUAGGGGGCAAGCGUUGUCCGGAUUUAUUGGGCGUAAAGCGCGUGUAGGCGGCCAGAUAGGUCGGUUGUGAAAACUGGAGGCUCAACCUUCAGAGGUCGACCGAAACCAUCUGGCUAGAGUCCGGGAGAGGAGAGUGGAAUUCCUGGUGUAGCGGUGAAAUGCGCAGAUAUCAGGAAGAACACCCGUGGCGAAAGCGGCUCUCUGGAACGGUACUGACGCUGAGACGCGAAAGCGUGGGGAGCGAACAGG
rnacentral:rRNA from 1 species